GGUACAUCCAUGACGGACAAGAACCGUCGUGGAAGGUAUGAUGUCAAAUUAUGACGCGAUAUACAUGACGGAUUUUGUAUCCGUCGUGGAUGGGCAUGCAUGACAGUUCUUGACUGAUCCGUGACAGAAUUGAACCGUCAUGCAUUAACACAUUUCUUGUAGUGAAGAUAGAAUGAAUCUAUUUUUCAGUUGCCCAUUCAGUCAAGGAUUCUGGUGUAUUAUACUUAUGAUCAUGAUGCUAGGAACAAAUACCAAUGGGAUAUUUUCAUGGAAAUCCUUAUUAUUGGGUGGUGGUCCAUAUGGAACCAAAGGAAUGACAAGAUAUUUGAGAAUAAACAAUGCUCCAUUGAUGCUUUCAAGCAAGAUUUUAGAAGCACCUUUCACCUCCCCGUGAUUAGGGCUAAUCCUAGUAUCAAUGAAGGUAUGUUAUCAUACAGUGGCGGACCCAAGAAUUGAAGUUAGCUGGGGCGAACAUUUAAUGUCUAAUUUUUUUCCGAAACAAAUGCAACUCUAUUUAAUCAAAACUCGUGGCAUUCAACAACAAAAAAAUUAAAAAGCUCCUAAAAACUAGUAAACUGACUCUUGUCGCUUGAAAUGCUCACUUAUGCCAAAAUAUGAUCCCAUAAUUCCAAUAUCCAAAGGAGACCUACAAAAUUAUGAAUGCAUUAGCAUAAGUGUGAUGAGAGUUGUAUAUUUUGAUAUGGUCAUAUGACGGUAACUGGGUGAUAGUAUACCUUUAAGAUGUAAUUGCAUAAUGAACAUGGGCUUGUGGAGGUAGAUGACCUCGACGGCUCAUCAAGGCAUGCAAAUGAGCUCCUCCGCAGAUCUUUCCCAAAACGAGUACGAGGAAAAUCAUGACCAUACAAAUGCCCCACACUUUUCGACAAAUAUGCCCUUCUCAUUUCAUCUCUAGUUUCUGGAGUUACAUAAUAUUCAAUUUGCUUACGUGUGCUAGGAUCAGAAUCCAAAUCAGCCAAAUUAAAUGACAGAGGAAUGCCCUACACCAUCAAAUGGCAUAAAAAAUGAGUGUCAUGUUACCGUUGGUCGCCUGAUUCUAACUAACAUAUCAAAAGAUACAAAAAGACUAGAAGAGGAUACAUGUUGGUAGUUGUUGGAGUCAGUUGGUCGUUUCCGUUUGGUUGAUCUGGCCACUGAAGCUACUGCCUCUUCGACAGAAGCAACCUCGGCAUCGGCUUCUUCGACUUCGACAACAACUGCUAUCCCUGCGGCCACCCAAUCCACCCCCUCAUCCAAAUCAAUCACGAGCACUCAAAUCAGUAGGNNNNNNNNNNNNNNNNNNNNNNNNNNNNNNNNNNNNNCCCCCGCCGCUAGGCGUUGGCCCGACCUGCAAGCUGCCGACCCCUGUGCCCGGGAACUGCUGGCGGCGGCGCUGGAUACCUGGAUGGCUGGAUCGAUGGAGGGGGGAACGGGGAACUGCUACUCGAUGCCUGGCCUGGUUGGCUGGCUGGGCACUGGAUCGAUGUAUGGUCCUGUAGAAAAAUAGCCCACUCCAUCGAUGGACCGGCCCAACAAAAAUAGCCCACUCCAUCGACAGACCGGCCCAACCAAAUCACUUACCCCUUCGUUUUCGUGGAUGGCCGGCUCCCUCUCCCUGACGCCCGAAC
rnacentral:lncRNA from 1 species